UUCAAAUGUGUAUUUAUCAGAUCUUCUUUGUCGCAUCUUAAAUAGUCUGGCGCCACGGUUACUGAGAUGGGAUAAUUCUUCCAACAUGAUGUCUCUGGGGAUGCUGACUUUUUUGCCCAGGUGCAUGCCAUCUACAUCUGUAAAACAACAUUAAUGUGCAUGAAAACCCCAAGUACUGCAGACCCGGAAGUGAGCCACCGAAGAGAAGUCGAAGCCUGGAAUAUGACGUUGUUUAGCCAUAUACUCUCAAUUGCUAUGUGGUGUACAUGCUACAAAUCACGUGACCAUUAUUAGACUAUUUCCCAAGGAAUCUGAUGCAUCAAAUGGGGCUGAGGGAAAGACAGUCCUUUGUUCAUUUGUACCAGAUUCCAGAAAUCUACUAGUUCUGAGGAAAAAACUGAAAAUGUACUUAUUUGAAAGUAAGGAGGUUCAAGAGCUUGGCCUAAGACCCAGGAGUUACUGGGGUAGAGUCAGGUCACGUGGGCUGCCUCGCAGGCAAGAGAUUGUGCCUGUGCUAGCCUCCUCCUUGUGGAAAACUGCUUCUCUACCCUCACCUCUAAUGUGUGUUCUAACUGGGAGCUGUCUCAUCCUGUGACCUCAGUCCCCUGGGCAACACUAACUGACCUUGGAGUGGCCACUUGACCUAAACUGGACUAAUAAUAACCCUCCUGACCCAGCUCAUGGAUACAUGAAGGGAGUCAAGACAAUUAGAAGUUUUCCUCACAUUUUUUUUGAAUCUGGAUGAAGAGAGGGAUGGAGGAAAAUGAGGGAGGUGAUGUGGAGAGAGAGUCCUCUUCUCUGGCUGGAAAGCUGUUCCUAUGGGAGCCAGCAGAAGCCACUGGAAGUUGUCAUGGUAGGCACAUUGAGAGUAUUGGUCCAAGAGAAGGAAGCUGACCUGGCAGCGCGAAUGUCCCUGAUCCAGUUUUCCCUCAUGACCACUGUGUUUUUAACCUGCUGCCUGUCUGGUUUCCUGAGACAAUAAAUACCUCCUUUUCCUUUGAAUAAGCUAGUUCCAGCUGGGUUUUUGCAACUUCCCACAAGGGUCCUGACUCACACAACUACGAAGAGGCAGAACCAGAAUUCAAAUGGACUUUCUUAUUCCCAUCUCCACUCUAAUUCCACCAAACUACAAUAUCUGUCAUGCCUCUGUUCUAGGGUUCUCCGGUCCUUCUGGAAUUAACAUUCAUUUAUGCUAGCAAGCCUAGAUAAGUUGUGCCAGGUGCAAGUUUCUGGCUUUCUCUCUUGGCUCUUAGGAUUUAUGCUUCCUGAACAUUCCAGAGUGGUAUUUCUGGUAAGAAAAACUAAACAGCCAGGUGGACUCAGGAGAAGCUAAGUUCUGGGCUGAAGUAAGUUGUUCAGAUUUUGCACAUUUAAACUGCCUGGAACUCUUUGCUGUUAGGUUUCAGAUCCCAUUUUUCCCCUUGCAAUAAUAAAAGCCAAAAAAGUGGAAACAUGGGGGAUUUUUUUUCAGAGAUGGAUGGUGAUGGUCUCCCAGAAGAAUUAAUUUUAGAACUAUAGCCUGACAUUUGGUGUAACUAUAGCCUUUGCUCACCAUAUUCACUAGAAUAAGAUGGUCCAUUCUUCCUGAAUGACAGGAAACAGUUCUUCACUCUUCUGAAUUCAUUAUGUAUGUUACCAUUGCAUAUUCCAACAUCUUCUAAAAUCUUUAAUCCAUUCCACUUGUUUUUUUAAUAAAAGAUUUUAUUUAUUUAUUUGAGAGAGAGAGCAAGAGAGAGAACAAGCAGGGGGAAUGAGCAGAGGGAAAGGGAGAAGCAGACUCCACGCUGAGCAGGGAUUCUUACGUGGUGCUCAAUCCCAGGACCAUCAGGACCUGAGCCAAAGGCAGACGCGUAACUGACUGAGCCAUCCUGGUGCCCCUCCAUUCCACUUGUUUUAUGGAAAAUCUUGGGUAUUUUGUUGUCAUGGAGUCCUUGACCCAGAUUCUUACUUUCAAAUAACAUAAAUAUAGAUUUACACUAAAAAAGCAUGUGCAUUUAUAUACAUAUAAUGCAUGCAUCAUAUAUAUAAUUAAUAUAGACUUUAUCUUUAACAGAUUACAAGAUUUUUUUGGCAUAGAAGUAGGACACUCAAUUAAACGAUUUUUUUCAAGCCUCAUAGUUCUUAUAUUCUUCAUAAUAACUCUCCGUGAUUGAUAAAUCUUUUUAAAUUCAAUUCAACUUAGAGGUGAAGAAAUUCAUUUAAAAGGACUACAUUAUGCUCUCUAUAGUCAUAAAUUAAUAUAUUCAUAGGAUAUAUCAUUUAUGACAAGAAAACAGUUCUGCUUAGUUGUUCUUGGCCAUUUGGAUAGGGCCAUUUUCAUUGAACUAAUUGGCAUAAUAGCAACGACAACAGUAACAACAACAAAUACCGAUUCAACAGAAAUUCAAUGAAGAAUAUUAAAGACAAAACCAACCUGAGAUCCAUAAUUCAAUUAAGAGAAUGACCAAGAUUACAGUGAAGAGUUUUAGAAGGUCAAGUCAAAUUCUGCUUGUGUUCUCACUGACCUGCAAUGCUGUGUGACAGGAUUCAGUGCCAAGUCAGUUUUAGCUGUCUCUUUUUUCCUUACCGCGCUCCCAGCUUCUGCUGCUAUCAGUAGAGGCAAUAAAAGGCAAUGGAAGCCAGAGGCAAAAACGAUAAAAGCAGACCCUUGCUUGAGUUUUCAAGUUACUCAUCAUCCUGGUUUACAGACUUUCCGUGAAUAUGUAUGUGAUUUCGUUUUCAUUGCCAAGUCACCUGAUUUCUCAAGUCCUGGCUUAGGAAAUGAGAUGAGCAGGGAGGAGUGCCAUUGGCUCACAGAAAACAGUGUUUGUUACAAGUGCCGUUUGUUUUAUUUUUACUGUACAAAGUAUAAUGUGCCAUAUAAUUACAAAGCUUUAUUAUUUAUAGUCUGAGGUCAAAAAAGGCAAGGAUUAGUCUCUAUUUUUUUAUUCCAAAUUUUCCUAUAACAGUUCUGCUUUGCUACACUCUUACAUUCCAAGAUAUGAUUUGCCAGAACAAUGAUGGACAUUUUGAUGUCUGAUGCACAAAUAAUCUCUCCAGAAUAACUGGAAAUUUUAAUAUUUUGGGUAUCUGAAAUAAUACAUAGAGGUAAGCUAUAGAAUUUGGUGUAGAAUUUAUGUUUUUCUCUAAAGAGAGGAAAAACACUAGAUGUGAUACCUACUCGAAAUUUGGUGUAUGACUUUGAAGAAUUUAAGAAAUCACUUCUUCCUAAGGAAUUUGUUAAAGGCUCUGAGUAGCUGAAAGUCAACAAUAAAAUUACUCUCAACUGCUACAUUAUGUGGGUCCACACUUUCCUCACUUAUAAAAACCAAACUUAAUUUUUUUUAAAGAUUUUAUUUAUCUAUUUGACAGAGACAGCCAGC